CCUACGGGUGGCAGCAGUGGGGAAUAUUGGACAAUGGGCGAAAGCCUGAUCCAGCCAUGCCGCGUGUGUGAAGAAGGCCUUCGGGUUGUAAAGCACUUUCAGUGGGGAAGAAAGCCUUGGGGCUAAUACCCUCGAGGAAGGACAUCACUCACAGAAGAAGCACCGGCUAACUCCGUGCCAGCAGCCGCGGUAAUACGGAGGGUGCGAGCGUUAAUCGGAAUUACUGGGCGUAAAGCGCGCGUAGGCGGUCUGAUAAGCCGGUUGUGAAAGCCCCGGGCUCAACCUGGGAACGGCAUCCGGAACUGUCAGGCUAGAGUGCAGGAGAGGAAGGUAGAAUUCCCGGUGUAGCGGUGAAAUGCGUAGAGAUCGGGAGGAAUACCAGUGGCGAAGGCGGCCUUCUGGACUGACACUGACGCUGAGGUGCGAAAGCGUGGGGAGCAAACAGGAUUAGAUACCCUAGUAGUC
rnacentral:rRNA from 1 species